rnacentral:tRNA from 1 species
UCCCCGAUAGCUCAGUCGGUAGAGCGACGAACUGUUAAUCCGCAGGUCCCUGGUUCGAGCCCAGGUCGGGGAACCA